GUCAACGUAUGUAUAUUUGUUACAGACUUUCCUUUGUCGAGGAAUAAGUCAUUCUAAUGCUCCAGAUUAGAACAAGACGCAUUAAUUGACAAAUUUCAAUCAACUCCAUCGAGUGAUCAUGAAUGUACAGGCAACUUUCCUUUGUUGGGGAGAAACACAGCGAAAGAAGACAAACGACGUUACGUAUACUCGAAGAUUGCGACUACAAUUAUGGGAAUGAAGAAUUCCCAUAAUUCCAUCGUUAUCUUCUUAUUAUGUUUACUCUUACACUCGCUGGAUAGGAUUACUGUUUAUAAACGAUGAAAAACGAAUAGACAAGAUACUCUUUAACGAACCGUGUGGCGAUAUCGCGAGAUGUUUAAGGUCAGCCUACUUAAAACCCGACGUGUUUCUAUUUUAAAGCGCAGUCAUAGAAAAUGCCCGAGAAGAUCUCACUCGAAGAUCGAAAUUUGUAAACAUCGGAAAGAACGCUCUGCUCGGUUUACAUCCCGCAUAAAACGCACGGGUACCUUGAAUACCAAUCGCCUUUCAUCUGGAAGAAAGUUUCGCGGAGCUUCCUCAAAAAUCCAGCGAAUCUUGGACAUUUGCAUUUCGGUUGGAUCAAACGUCGUGAUUAUAGAUAGAAAUUCGGUAGACCACGACAGUUAAUGAAUAUUAAUCUUAAUCUGUAACUGCGUACGCAUAGAAUUUUAAUGUGCAAACGGAGGUGCGAAGUUUCAGUAUAUAUAGACUUUAUUUUAUCACGAGUAGACUCGGUUCAGCCUGAGUGCGCGCCGAGUUCUCAGAAACCUUGCCUGGCAUGCAUAGAUUAGGAUUAAACGAGUUUGACAUUCGUAAAAGGUGGAUACAUUCGCGGAAAUGGCUGACAAAGCGAACAUCGAGGCAGUGACCUCGAACGAUCGAAACGGUACUGGAUGCGGAUCGUGAACAACGCAGAAGUAUGAUUGCACGUUGCACAGGAGACACGAAAGCCGGAAUGACGCUGCGUAUGCACCCUUGUCAUUACCUUUCGCAAUGCUUUCUACUUUCCGUGCACGAGCGUCAUUAAAACGUACGUCGACCGUGUCGCAAACAGAUUUUUCUUUGUCAAAGAAUAAGUCAUUUUAAUGCUCCAGAUUAGAACAAGACGCAUUAAUUGACAAAUUUCAAUCAACUCCAUCGAGUGAUCAUGAGUGUAUUACAGGGCCCCUUUUCGAUCUCUACCACGAAUACAACCAGCAAUUAUACGCGCCCUUAUCCAAGGGGUCAUCGCGAGAUCGCUAAAUGGUAAAAGUUGCGCGUAACAACGUGUAGCGUUAGUCGAUACGCAGAAAGUAAAAUGAAAAUGGAAAGUGGACGUUAAACUAAUUCCAAACGGACGCCUCUUCGACGUCGGUGAAUAUAAAUCAUUGCGUGCGCGAACGAUACGCCAAGACAACGCGAUGCGUUGCUUCUCUGUUAACUAUGUACUUUUUCUUUCGCUAAUUCGACGAAGAAACUCCGUUCAGGAAUCCAAUGAAAACGCUCGAAGCGUGCGACAUCGAAGAUAGGAUUAACGAAAGAAUGCGGUGCAUUUGAUAAACAAGGGCCAGUUAGGCGCCCGCAGAUGUGUUACACUUUCGAGGCAAGAAGAAUUUCUGCUGCGAAAGUAGAAGAGGGAUCUCUUUGUGGAGUACAGAACAAAUCUCUUGUUUUCUGCAAGAGGCCAAGGAUUAAUUUCUGUACACAUCAGAAUUGGAAUCUAUUAGACUUCACAGAAUCGCA